rnacentral:rRNA from 1 species
UACAGAGGUCUCAAGCGUUGUUCGGAUUUACUGGGCGUAAAGGGCGCGUAGGCGGCGUGACAAGUCACUUGUGAAAUCUCCGGGCUUAACCCGGAACGGCCAAGUGAUACUGUCGUGCUAGAGUGCAGAAGGGGCAAUCGGAAUUCUUGGUGUAGCGGUGAAAUGCGUAGAUAUCAAGAGGAACACCUGAGGUGAAGACGGGUUGCUGGGCUGACACUGACGCUGACAGCGCGAAAGCUAGGGGAGCAAACGGG